UGAGCCGACAGUAACCAUCAGCCAACCUAAAUCCCCACAGACAACAGCAAAUGAAUAUUCGCCUGUUACAGUGACAACAGUAACACCAAGUAUAUUUUAUAAUUUGCAUCUUUAUUUUUAUUUCAUUGCAUCAACGUCUUCAUUUCUACGCGUGCACGUUUCCCCCGCGGUCGACCAUAUAUCUUACGUGCACGGCUAAACCAGUCAGCUCCAUUUAUAACUGGAGCUAUAUUGAAGCCAACUUCGUUUUAACCGCACAAUAGAAAGGGACCGGGGAACUGAUGUCCAAUAGUUCCUUAAAUUUCCGCCAUCUUGGCAAGGAGUCUGGGCUAAAGCAAGUACAAUAAGUAUGAUUUACAUUACAAUACAUUACUAAAAAUUUCAUCAUAGUUUUUGACAUAGGUAAAAAUUUGCUCAAAUCCAAUAACAACUUUUUUUCAGAUAUAAUACAAGCUCCUUUACGAGUCAUGGUUUCCUUUUUUUCAUGAAUUAUUCACACAACUUUUACUUUUCCCUUUCCUAAAGUCAUCAAAAGACAAUUUUAUUUCUGCAAUAGAAUUGCCUUGAAAAGUUGAACUAUUUUAUUUAAUGUUUUAGAAACGAAAAUCCCUGCCAGCUCAGAUGAAGAAAGUUCCGGCUCAAACAUCUCAAACAAAAUUUUUAUUGCUUUGUUUUGCACCGUUCUUGUUGUCAUUGUUUUUCUUGGCAUUGUUGUGGGAUGUCUGUGGAAGAAACUGCAGAGGUCAGUUAAAGUCGUU